GACGUAGGGGGCGAGCGUUGUCCGGAUUCAUUGGGCGUAAAGCGCGCGUAGGCGGCCCGGUAAGUCGGAUGUGAAAUCUCACGGCUCAACCGUGGAACUGCAUUCGAAACUGUCGGGCUAGAGGCAGGUAGGGGAGAUCGGAAUUCCCGGUGUAGCGGUGAAAUGCGCAGAUAUCGGGAGGAACACCGGUGGCGAAGGCGGAUCUCUGGGCCAUUACUGACGCUGAGGAGCGAAAGCGUGGGAGCGAACAGG
rnacentral:rRNA from 1 species